GGCAGAUACGUCUACGAAAGGCAAUGAUGGCGCCUGACACUCAACUGAAGUAUCUUGUGCCAUUAUCGCCGACGGUGAAGACGACAGCCACCGCCAAAACGACUUAAGACUCAUUUUUGAAGCUUUAUAUUGUGAUGUGACUUCCAAGCGGCGUGUUCAUUGUCUUGGGAACUAAUGCAGUGGUGUACAGAAAAUGCUACCACUGUAAUGUGUCAAACUACAUGUCACUACUAUUAAAAGAGACUACCUCCA